rnacentral:rRNA from 1 species
AGAACGAACGCUGGCGGCGUGCCUAACACAUGCAAGUCCAACGUGAAAGGGGAGCAAUCCCCCGGUAGGGUGGCAAACGGGUGAGUAAUACAUGGGUGAUCUACCUUAGGGAUGGGGAUAUCCUUCCGAAAGGAGGGGCAAUACCGAAUAUUGUCCGGAGCCGUGAAGGGUUCCGGGGAAAGGGAGGCCUCUGGCAACAUGCUUCCGCUCCGAGAGGAGCCCAUGGCCCAUCAGCUAGUUGGUAGGGUAAAGGCCUAUCAAGGCGAAGACGGGUAGCUGGUCUGAGAGGAUGAUCAGCCACACUGGGACUGAGACACGGCCCAGACUCCUACGGGAGGCAGC